CUUCUUCUUGGAUUUGAAGGACACUUUAGAUGAUCACGAGUUUCUUAACCUGUGCAUUGAUGUAGGCAGAAUUUAUGGGAUGAUACAUGAACAAACCGAAUUGGAAUAGAGAUCCAAAACAAGCUUUGGUAGUUUGAUAUUUUGGGCUACCGCUCUUCCAUUUUUACUCUUGAAGAUUUUGUUAAUUUGAUAGACAAUCUUGUAGCAAAACUUGGUAAUGUCUGCUGCGACCUGCGAGGAAAAGAACUUGCUGUCUACAUUGGACGGCUAGUCGGCUAGCUACCCAAUGAAUUAGAGAUCCACUUAAGAUAGUGUUUUUCAAAAUACAUGAUUAACAAAGGCCUGUUUGAUUUAAUUAUUGAAUGUAGCUCAUAACUGUUAGAUGAUAGUUAUUACCGUUAAUCAAUGCCUGAUAGCAGGUAACU
rnacentral:misc_RNA from 1 species